GUGGGGAAUAUUGGACAAUGGGCGAAAGCCUGAUCCAGCCAUGCCGCGUGUGUGAAGAAGGUCUUCGGAUUGUAAAGCACUUUAAGUUGGGAGGAAGGGUAGUAACCUAAUACGUUGCUACUUUGACGUUACCGACAGAAUAAGCACCGGCUAACUUCGUGCCAGCAGCCGCGGUAAUACGAAGGGUGCAAGCGUUAAUCGGAAUUACUGGGCGUAAAGAGCGCGUAGGUGGUUCAGUAAGUUGGAGGUGAAAUCCCCGGGCUCAACCUGGGAACUGCCUACAAAACUGCAUGACUAGAGUACGGUAGAGGGUAGUGGAAUUUCCUGUGUAGCGGUGAAAUGCGUAGAUAUAGGAAGGAACACCAGUGGCGAAGGCGACUACCUGGACUGAUACUGACACUGAGGUGCGAAAGCGUGGGGAGCAAACAGGAUUAGAAACCCCGGUAGUCC
rnacentral:rRNA from 1 species